rnacentral:tRNA from 1 species
UCCCCCUUAGUUUAACUGGAGAAAAUAACGUAUUUUAUUGCGUAGUUGUUGGUUCAAGCCCAACAGGGAGACCCA